AUUGAACGCUGGCGGCAGGCUUAACACAUGCAAGUCGAGCGAGCGGCGGACGGGUGAGUAAUGUCUGGGAAACUGCCUGAUGGAGGGGGAUAACUACUGGAAACGGUAGCUAAUACCGCAUACCAUCAGAUGUGCCCAGAUGGGAUUAGCUAGUAGGUGGGGUAAUGGCUCACCUAGGCGACGAUCCCUAGCUGGUCUGAGAGGAUGACCAUCCACACGUGAACUGAGACACGGUCCAAGCUCCUACGGGAGGGAGCAGUUGGGGAAAUUGCACAAUGGGCGCAAGCCUGAUGCAGGUAUGCCGCGUGUAUGAAGGAGGCCUUCGGGUUGUAAAGGACUUUCAGGGGGGAGGCGUUACCCGGAGGAGAAGCACCGGCUAACUCCGUGCCAGCAGCCGCGGUAAUUC
rnacentral:rRNA from 1 species